rnacentral:rRNA from 1 species
GGACCCGCACAAGCGGUGGAGUAUGUGGCUUAAUUCGAUGCAACGCGAAGAACCUUACCUAGGCUUGACAUGCUUGUCGUACUCUCCCGAAAAGGAGAGGUCACUUCGGGUGGACAAUGCACAGGUGCUGCAUGGCCGUCGUCAGCUCGUGUCGUGAGAUGUUUGGUUAAGUCCAGCAACGAGCGCAACCCCUGUGAACUGUUGCCAGCGCGUAAAGGCGGGGACUCUGUUCAGACUGCCCAGAUCAACUGGGAGGAAGGUGGGGACGACGUCAGGUCAGUAUGGCCCUUACGCCUAGGGCUGCACACGUACUACAAUGCUACGGACAAAGGGCAGCAAGUUCGCGAGGACAAGCAAAUCCCAUAAACCGUGGCUCAGUUCAGAUCGUAGGCUGCAACUCGCCUACGUGAAGGCGGAAUCGCUAGUAAUCGCAGGUC